ACGGAAGGCAGCAGUGGGGAAUAUUGGACAAUGGGGGCAACCCUGAUCCAGCGACGCCGCGUGAGUGAAGAAGUGUUUCGACAUGUAAAGCUCUAUCAGCAAGGAAGAAAAUGACGGUACUUGACUAAGAAGCCCCGGCUAACUACGUGCCAGCAGCCGCGGUAAUACGUAGGGGGCAAGCGUUAUCCGGAUUUACUGGGUGUAAAGGGAGCGUAGACGGUGAGGCAAGUCUGAAGUGAAAACCCGCAGCUCAACUGCGGGACUGCUUUGGAAACUGUCACACUAGAGUGCAGGAGGGGUAAGCGGAAUUCCUAGUGUAGCGGUGAAAUGCGUAGAUAUUAGGAGGAACACCGGAGGCGAAGGCGGCUUACUGGACUGUAACUGACGUUGAGGCUCGAAAGCGUGGGGAGCAAACAGGAUUAGAUACCCUGGUA
rnacentral:rRNA from 1 species